rnacentral:rRNA from 1 species
AUGCACACUCCGCGGCUCGGCUUCCGCGGGCUGCAGCCUGCAGCCAUGGACGCCCCCGCCGCGCCUCCAAGAAAGCUCUCGCCGCCCGCCGCGCCGCGAAGAAGGCUAUCGCCGCCCGCCGCGCCACCAAGAAGGCUGUCGCCGCCAGCCGCACGGGCGCGGCCCGUGAACAAGAGCCCCCCGCAUCCCCAUCCCCCACCUCACCGUCGGCCGCCGACGCCGACGCCGCAGCGCAGCCACCUCCACGGGCAGCAGCAGCAGCACAAGCAGCAGACGUCCGCGUGGAGCGUCGGCUUCCUGAGCGCCUGGCUCUCGCAGCGCACCCCCGUGCUCGGCCUCCGCGCCUGGGUCCUCGUCGCCGCGGCCGCGGCCGCGGUCGUCCUCGCCGUCCUCGUGCUCACCGUCUGCCUCUGCCGCUGCCGGCGCCGGCGCCGGCGAUGCCCUCGCGUCGCCCCGAGCCUGCACCACGGGGGCGCGUCCAGGUCCAUGAAGCACCACCUGCAUCAGGCGAUGGCGGACAAGGACAUCGUCGAGGAGUCCGUCCGCUGGCACCCGCCGCCUCCGUGCGAGCCGCCGUUCCAGCCGCCGAUCGAGGUCAUCAAGGCGGAGCAGAAGGCCCCGCUGAUCAGGGUCGAGUCCGCGCGGACUAGCGGCGAGACGGCGACGAGCAUCGCCGGGAGCGCGCGCGGUUGGAGCAGCGAGAGCGGCGGCGGCAGCGACGCGGAGGCCGACGCGUCGCAGCGCGGCUGGGGCCGCCGGUACACGCGCCGGGAGCUGGAGGAGGCCACCGACGGGUUCGCCGCCCAGAACGUGCUCGGGGAGGGCGGCUACGGGGUGGUCUACAAGGGUGUGCUACGGGACUCCACCCUCGUCGCCAUCAAGAAUCUGCACAACAACAGGGGCCAGGCCGAGAAAGAUUUCAAGGUGGAGGUGGCGACGAUCGGCCGGGUUCGGCACAAGAACUUGGUCAGUCUGCUCGGCUACUGCAGCGAGGGCGCCUGCAGGAUGCUGGUCUACGAGUACAUGGAGAACAGUAACCUGGACAAGUGGCUGCACCAUGAGGAGGGUGAGAUUAGUCAGCUCAACUGGGACACAAGGAUGCACAUACUUCUCGGAACCGCUAAAGGGCUGGCGUACCUUCACGAAGGGCUGGAGCCCAAGAUCGUCCACCGAGACGUCAAAUCCAGCAACAUCCUCCUGGACGGGCAGUGGAACGCCAGGGUGUCGGACUUCGGGCUCGCCAAGCUCCUCUGCUCCGAGGCGUCCUACGUCACCACCCGCGUCAUGGGCACCUUCGGGUACGUGGCGCCGGAGUACGCGCGGACCGGGAUGCUGAACGAGAGGAGCGACGUGUACAGCUUCGGGGUGCUCGUCAUGGAGAUGAUAACCGGCAGAACUCCGGUGGACUACACCAGGCCCACCGCGGAGGUGAACUUGGUGGAGUGGCUGAAGCGCAUGGUGGCGGAGAGGAGGGUGGAGGAGGUGCUGGACCCGACGCUGCCCGAGGCGCCGCCGUCCAAGGUGCUGAAGCGCGCCGUCCUCGCCGCGCUCCGGUGCGUCGACCCCGACAGCGGCCAGCGGCCCACCAUGGGGCACGUGGUGCACAUGCUCGAGGACGACCUCAGGUUCAGAGACGAACUCCAACUUGCGCGGGGUCUGUCGGCCCACGCGUCGGCGUCGGCGUCGUCGGGGAGCUACGAGCGCGAGGAGUGA